ACCGGCGCACGGGUGCGUAACACGUAUGCAAUCUACCUUAUACUGGGGCAUAACCUCGAGAAAUCGAAGCUAAUUCCCCAUAACAACAUGAAAUGGCAUCAUUUUAUGUUUAAAGCUCCGGCGGUAUAAGAUGAGCAUGCGUCCAAUUAGCUAGUUGGUGAGGUAAUGGCUCACCAAGGCUACGAUUGGUAGGGGGUCUGAGAGGAUGAUCCCCCACACUGGUACUGAGACACGGACCAGACUCCUACGGGAGACAGCAGUGAGGAAUAUUGCGCAAUGGAGGCAACUCUGACGCAGCCAUGCCGCGUGAAGGAUUGAAGGCCCUAUGGGUUGUAAACUUCUUUUAUACGGGAAAAAAACCUUGCUCGUGAGCGAGGCUGAUGGUACCGUAAGAAUAAGCACCGGCUAACUCCGUGCCAGCAGCCGCGGUAAUACGGAGGGUGCAAGCGUUAUCCGGAUUUAUUGGGUUUAAAGGGUCCGUAGGCGGAUCGUUAAGUCAGCGGUGAAAUCUUCCGGCUCAACCGGGAAACUGCCGUUGAUACUGUCGAUCUUGAGUACAAGUGAAGUUGGCGGAAUGUGUGGUGUAGCGGUGAAAUGCUUAGAUAUCACACAGAACACCUAUUGCGAAGGCAG
rnacentral:rRNA from 1 species